rnacentral:misc_RNA from 1 species
GAAAUGCGAUAAGUAAUGUGAAUUGCAGAAUUCAGUGAAUCAUCGAAUCUUUGAACGCACAUUGCGCUCGCCAGUAUUCUGGCGAGCAUGCCUGUUCGAGCGUCAUUUCAACCAUCAAGCUCUGCUUGCGUUGGGGAUCCGCGGCUGCCCGCGGUCCCUCAAAAACAGUGGCGGGCUCGCUAGUCACACCGAGCGUAGUAACUCUACAUCGCUAGGGUCGUGCGGCGGGUUCUUGCCGUAAAACCCCCAAUUUCUAAGGUUGACCUCGGAUCAGGUAGGAAUACCCGCUGAACUUAAGC